CUUCCUCUUCUUGUCUUCUAGAGAGAGAAAGAAAGAUAUGAGAGAGUGUGUGGGUGAGAAAUGAGAGAAAAGAGCUCUCAUACCCCCCACAUAGCCCCACAUGUUGCAUAAGUGCAAACAAGCCCAUCAACUUUUAUUCUUUUACAUUGCCUUCACUGGGCAUUUUCGGGCUGGGGGGACCGGUCUCUCCUUCAGGGACCGGUUCCCGUAGCUCCUCCCCGCGGUCAGCAGGGCUCUCACGCACAAUGCGACCGGUCUCUCUUUGGGGGACCGGUCUCUCAGGGACCGGUCUCUCCAGCAGGGACCGUUCUCCGAGAGCUGUCCACCAGGGAGUUAGCCGAUUUUUCUCUCCUCUUGCUGCCUGUGCGUUCGGGGACCGGUCUCUCCCGGCAGGGACCGGUCUCCGAGAGUAAAAAACCUGCGGUUUGCAGAUUUUCAAAUCCCUAGCUCUCGAAGAUCCCCAGUAAUGCACUUUUGCAUUAUUUGACGCCUUCGGCCUUUCCAAGGCGUACCAACCUCGCUCUUUGGUCAAUUCGACCAAGGUUCAAUACUUGGUUAUCGAAGUUUCGGUAUGUUACAUACCCACUCGACAACUAGUCGAUUCUGGACGAAGUCCAACUCUCGGCUUUCGAGAAUUCACUUCGUCACAACCAUACUGUACCAGUACACCCCUGGUGUCAAACCGGUAAGACAUGUUCCAGAACUUCGAUUUUGCACCGCUUCGACUCCAAUUAGCGUCGAGCAAUGCUAAAACUAUUCUAACUCUUUUAGAACUUAGUUCUAACCCUUCCAACAUUGUUGGAAUGUCAAUUGGACUUUGUCCAACUAUUUCUCUCGACGCGCUUUAGUCAAUUUGACCAAAAGUGAUCUAACACGACGAGGAUUCCGUUAAUUUCUCAAAGAUCAUGAGAGACGCCAAAACUCGCGAAGUUCUCAAUCUCCGCUCGCCUUAAAUUGCCCUGGGACACCACUUGGCCCAUCCCGCGCCGAUCUAAAAGAAGAUCGCCUAUGCGGUGCUAUCGCUUCCUAAAACGCGACAACUCUAUUAAUCCUCGACCUUCUAGGUCGAACACAAGACACUUAAUACCGACUCAAAUCGGGCGAAAGUCAGGCAAGGUCGUCUAUUCUCAUUACGCGGUUUCAUGUUGUAUGCAUCCAACAUGAACACCCUCGGUUGAGAAUAAACCACACCUUGAAUCUACCUCUAACAUCCGUUUUAGAGGUUUACAACAUAACCCAAUCAAUUCAUCUUUCGCCAAUAGUCACAAGUCCUCGUCUCUCACGAACCUUAAUCUCCUAUGGCUUGCUAUCCUAGGGUCUCCUAGGUCCAACUAAACAAUUUUCUAUUAUUCUUUUUAUGUUUCUUUUAUGCUCUGAUACCAUCUUAUCUGUCACGCCCCGCGACCACCCGCCUAUUUGGCCGGGUCGCGGCGCCGCCGACAGAUCGCCGAACGGACAGGGUUUCCCCUGUACUGCGGACAGAGUCUCCCCUGUACGUUCAAGGCAUAGCAAUCAAUACAAUGUGCGAAGUUCCAACCAGGAACACAUUUCAAUCAAGAUUGCAUAAUGGAAGGUAUCAAACAACAUAACACAUCCUAUGUUAUUACAUGCAUUCACAUUCAUACAUUUUACAUCCCAAAUACUUAUUACAUUUAACUUCCAAAUACAAUCCGAUUUAACAUGAUUAUUACAAUCUUAUUCCUUUCAUUUUCUUACAUCUUUAAGAAAAGCCGACUCAGGGUACCGCUAUCUCUGGUCUCGGUGGUAGGGCGCUAACUAUGGAGCUACGCCCUCGCCUCGCGCCGCCGCGCCGCUCACGUGCGAACCUGUAACACCCCAAAACCACGUGGGGUGAGAACCAACUCCAUGGUUCCCAGUGGGUACGGCCAACCAAGAAAAAAGUUCAACCAAUAGGUCCAAGGGAGGCAACUGC
rnacentral:lncRNA from 1 species